rnacentral:rRNA from 1 species
GGGGAAUAUUGCACAAUGGGGGAAACCCUGAUGCAGCGACGCCGCGUGGAGGAAGAAGGUCUUCGGAUUGUAAACUCCUGUUGUUGAGGAAGAUAAUGACGGUACUCAGCAAGGAAGUGACGGCUAACUACGUGCCAGCAGCCGCGGUAAAACGUAGGUCACAAGCGUUGUCCGGAAUUACUGGGUGUAAAGGGAGCGCAGGCGGGAGAACAAGUUGGAAGUGAAAUCCAUGGGCUCAACCCAUGAACUGCUUUCAAAACUGUUUUUCUUGAGUAGUGCAGAGGUAGGCGGAAUUCCCGGUGUAGCGGUGGAAUGCGUAGAUAUCGGGAGGAACACCAGUGGCGAAGGCGGCCUACUGGGCACCAACUGACGCUGAGGCUCGAAAGUGUGGGUAGCAAACAGGAUUAGAUACCCUGGUAGUCCACACCGUAAACGAUGAUUACUAGGUGUUGGAGGAUUGACCCCUUCAGUGCCGCAGUUAACACAAUAAGUAAUCCACCUGGGGAGUACGACCGCAAGGUUGAAACUCAAAGGAAUUGACGGGGGCCCGCACAAGCAGUGGAGUAUGUGGUUUAAUUCGACGCAACGCGAAGAACCUUACCAAGUCUUGACAUCCCUUGACGAUGCUGGAAACAGCAUUUCUCUUCGGAGCAAGGAGACAGGUGGUGCAUGGUUGUCGUCAGCUCGUGUCGUGAGAUGUUGGGUUAAGUCCCGCAACGAGCGCAACCCUUAUGGUCAGUUACUACGCAAGAGGACUCUGGCCAGACUGCCGUUGACAAAACGGAGGAAGGUGGGGAUGACGUCAAAUCAUCAUGCCCUUUAUGACUUGGGCUACACACGUACUACAAUGGCGUUAAACAAAGAGAAGCAAGACCGCGAGGUGGAGCAAAACUCAGAAACAACGUCCCAGUUCGGACUGCAGGCUGCAACUCGCCUGCACGAAGUCGGAAUUGCUAGUAAUCGCAGAUCAGCAUGCCACGGUGAAUACGUUCCCG